rnacentral:rRNA from 1 species
CCUGGUUGAUCCUGCCAGUAGUCAUAUGCUUGUCUCAAAGAUUAAGCCAUGCAUGUGUAAGCACACACUGUGUUAAAAGUGAAGCCGCGAAUGGCUCAUUACAACAGCCACAGUUUAUUAGAACUUACUCUCAUGGAUAACUGUGGUAAUUCUAGAGCUAAUACACGCACAAAAACUUCAACUGAAUUGGUUGAAGUGCUUUUAUUAGAACAAAAACCGAACGGCGUUUGAUGAAUGUUGAACGUCGAAACUGUUUGGUGAAUCUGAAUAACUAUUUCUGAUCGCAUGGUCUAGCACCGGCGACAUCACUUUCAAGUGUCUGCCUUAUCAACCUUCGAUGGUAGUCUAUGCGACUACCAUGGUGAUAACGGGUAACGGAGAAUCAGGGUUCGACUCCGGAGAGGGAGCCUGAGAAACGGCUACCACAUCCAAGGAAGGCAGCAGGCGCGCAAAUUACCCACUCCCAGCUUGGGGAGGUAGUGACGAAAAAUAACGAGACGAUUCUCGUUUGAGAAACGUUAUCGAAAUGAGUACGCUUUACACACGCUAACGAGUAGCAAUUGGAGGGCAAGUCUGGUGCCAGCAGCCGCGGUAAUUCCAGCUCCAAUAGCGUAUAUUAAAGUUGCUGCGGUUAAAACGCUCGUAGUUGAAUUGUGGUCUUAGACAACAGUCCCCCUACAUAGGUGUGGCACGGUUGCUCGAGAUCUUCAUUCGUGGUUGCUGUUGUUGCUCUUGAUUGAGUGUCAAUGGUGCCUCGAGAUUUUACUUUGAAAAAAUUAGAGUGCUCAAAGCAGGUUGUGAUGCAAAGCACAGUAUGAAGGACGGCUAAUUUUAUUAGAGUUUGAAACAGUUACCGACUAUCUUGGAAAAUUAUUGUUUAUUUCGAAAAAGUUGUCCGUUUUAAAAGAGAAACUUGUUAUGUACCUAGCAGCAGCGGUAUCCGAUUAUUACAUUCCUGAAGAUCAAUUGCCCAUACAUAAAAUGAGAUCAUCUCAGAAAACGUUGAACCUAUGUCUAACUCCUGUGCCGAAAUUGUUGAAAAAUUUGGUAGAAAUGAAUCGUAAAGCAUAUAUUGUUUCGUUUAAGCUUGAAACCGAUUCGAAUACUUUGAUUGCGAAAUGCAAAGAAGCUCUGGAUGUAAAUUCAAAUCAGCUCGUUAUUGGAAAUAUUCUUCAUACGAGAUAUCAUCAAGUAUAUUUAGUAAGCAAAGAUGAUGUUGAAGUAAUUCAACUGUCACCAGUUGACGUUAUGAAUGGCGUUCGAAUUGAGAAACUGGUCGUACAGAAGGUCAUCGACCAUCAUGAAAAAACAAUAAAAGGUUGUAGAACAUGAGAUGGAGAUGUAAAUAUA